GACGAACGCUGGCGGCGUGCUUAACACAUGCAAGUCGAACGGAAAGGCCCUGCUCUUGUGGGGUGCUCGUGUGGCGAACGGGUGAGUAACACGUGUGUAACCUGUCCUUGACUUUGGGAUAACUUCAGGAAACUGGGGCUCAUAUCGGAUAGGAGAUCCUGCUGCACGGUGGGGGUUGGUAAGUUUCGGCGGUUGGGGAUGGGCUGGCGGCUUAUCCGCUUGUUGGUGGAGUAGUGGCUUACCAAGGCUAUGAAGGGUAGCCGGCCUGAGAGGGUUACCGGCCACAUUGGGACUGAGAGACGGCCCAGACUCCUACGGGAGGCAGCGGUGGGGAAUAUUGCAGAAUGGGCGGAAGCCUGAUGCAGCAGCGCCGCGAGCGGAAUAACGGCCUUCGAGUGGUAAACCGCUUUCGCCUGUGACGAAGCGUGAGUGACGGUAAUGGGUAAAAAAGCACCGGCUAACUACGUG
rnacentral:rRNA from 1 species